GUUUUCCCUGAAAGGAAUGCUGCCCUGCUGACACCCUGACUCCAGUGCAGUGAGACCCACUUCAGACUUCUGACCUUUAAAACUGUAAGGUAAUAAUUUGUGUUAAGCCGCUAAGUUUGCAGCAAUUUGUUACAGUGGCAAUAAGAAACGAAUACAAAGGUGAAAGCUGAUCAUGGCUGAAGAAUAGAUAAAGUGUAUGAUUAGAAAGGAGGUAGCAGAUAUGGGCAGGAGGUCAAUGACCAUAGAGGCUUAAAUUUCAAGGCAGAGAUUUUGAAAUGCAUAGGCAAUGGGAAACUGCUGAAGGAUUCUAAAAAAUGAGUGAUGCGGUCAGAUUUGUAUCACAAAGAGGUCACCAACUGGUGCAGAGGAGGAACUGGAAGAGUGAGCCAGAAGGCAGAGAGACUCCUGGAGAGGAGGUUGCAGCGGUCCUGGUGAGCUCCCCCGCGGUGAGCUGGGGCCACAGGGGGGCUGCCUCCUCUGAGCCCUUGGGACCCACGGGACCUCCACACCGCAGUACUGGCAGCCAGGGGCUGUGUUACAUACGCCACUCCCUUCCUAGUGUCCUUGUGGAGGCAGCCUCUUCAGUGAAAACCUGGACUAGGAGAGAGGAGGAAGCAACCCAACUGCAGACUUGGCCCUGGAAGCUCUCAGCAGUGCAGUCUCCGGACCGGUGUCCUGCACUAUUGCGCAGAGGGCUGGGCGCCAUCUAGAGGGCAACAGCGGUAACAGCCGGAAGGAAAGGAAAGCCGCAGUGAUUCCCAAACAUCACCAAAGGGGACGCGGGGAAGCCUGCUUCUGGCUCUGUGGGCGGAUUCUAUAAUAAAAUGAAGUGUGAGAUCACAGAAUCUUUUAAUUCUAGCAUGUGGAAAUUAUGAAAUUAUAGAAAAAUUAACUCUCUAAGCUAUGGGGGGUGGAGUCAGAAUCGUACAUCCUUUGACUUUUAGAUAUGGAGAAUGUGGUAUUUCUAGUGUCUUUAGUUCUUAUACCCCUGGGGUGCCCCUGGCCUCAAUAGAGUACAAAUUCAGACUUUUAACAGUGACACCCGGACCUCAGUCUCCAACACCUCACCUGCUUGACCCCGGCUCUGCCUCUUCUGACCAGUUACCCGCAGAAACCUCCAAGGGUGGCCCACUACCAGCCUCUACUGCCAGAAUAAAAGUCUCUUGAUGUCAAGGAACGUGCCCUUCACCUCCUAUCACCAGCGCGGAGCCAGUCUCACAGUGAGGCAAGAAGGCAGCGUGAUGCCGCAGUCCUCAGCAGCAGAAGCGUAGGUUCAGACCCCAGCUCCACCACUGGCUAGCUGGAGCCCUAAUUUAACUUCUCUGGGCCUUUUGUUACUGA
rnacentral:lncRNA from 1 species